rnacentral:rRNA from 1 species
UACGGAGGGAGCUAGCGUUGUUCGGAAAUACUGGGCGUAAAGCGCACGUAGGCGGCGCAGCAAGUCAGGGGUGAAAUCCCGGGGCUCAACCUCGGAACUGCCUUUGAUACUGGCAAUCUCGAGUCCGGAAGAGGUGAGUGGAAUUCCUAGUGUAGAGGUGAAAUUCGUAGAUAUUAGGAAGAACACCAGUGGCGAAGGCGGCUCACUGGUCCGGUACUGACGCUGAGGUGCGAAAGCGUGGGGAGC